rnacentral:rRNA from 1 species
GACGAACGCUGGCGGCGUGCUUAACACAUGCAAGUCGAGCGGUAAGGCCCUUUCGGGGGUACACGAGCGGCGAACGGGUGAGUAACACGUGGGUGACCUGCCCUCAGCUCUGGGAUAAGCCUGGGAAACCGGGUCUAAUACUGGAUAUGACUCCAUGACGCAUGUUGUGGGGUGGAAAGCCUUGUGCGGCUGAGGAUGGGCCCGCGGCCUAUCAGCUUGUUGGUGGGGUGANGGCCUACCAAGGCGACGACGGGUAGCCGGCCUGAGAGGGCGACCGGCCACACUGGGACUGAGACGCGGCCCAGACUCCUACGGGA